ACAGCCAUAUUGUGUUGAAACACUGGCUCUCAUGCAAUCACCAAAGUUAAACAAUGUCAAGCCUGGUCAGUACCUAGAUGAGUGACUGCUUGAGAAUGCCAGGCGCUGUAAG